UGGGGAAUUUUGGACAAUGGGCGAAAGCCUGAUCCAGCAAUGCCGCGUGUGUGAAGAAGGCCUUCGGGUUGUAAAGCACUUUUGUCCGGAAAGAAAUCCUUGGCUCUAAUACAGUCGGGGGAUGACGGUACCGGAAGAAUAAGCACCGGCUAACUACGUGCCAGCAGCCGCGGUAAUACGUAGGGUGCAAGCGUUAAUCGGAAUUACUGGGCGUAAAGCGUGCGCAGGCGGUUUGCUAAGACCGAUGUGAAAUCCCCGGGCUCAACCUGGGAACUGCAUUGGUGACUGGCAGGCUAGAGUAUGGCAGAGGGGGGUAGAAUUCCACGUGUAGCAGUGAAAUGCGUAGAGAUGUGGAGGAAUACCGAUGGCGAAGGCAGCCCCCUGGGCCAAUACUGACGCUCAUGCACGAAAAGCGUGGGGAGCAAAACAGGAUUAGAUACCCUGGUAGUCCACGCCCUAAAACGAUGUCAACUAGUUGUUGGGGAUUCAUUUCCUUAGUAACGUAGCUAAACGCGUGAAGUUGACCGCCUGGGGAGUACGGUCGCAAAGAUUAAAAACUUAAAAUGAAUUGACGGGGUCAUAGCUGUUUCCU
rnacentral:rRNA from 1 species